rnacentral:rRNA from 1 species
UACGGGGGGGGCAAGCGUUGUUCGGAAUUACUGGGCGUAAAGGGCGCGUAGGCGGCCUGCUAAGUCGGAUGUGAAAUCCCUCGGCUCAACCGAGGAACUGCAUCCGAUACUGGCGGGCUUGAAUUCGGGAGAGGGAUGUGGAAUUCCAGGUGUAGCGGUGAAAUGCGUAGAUAUCUGGAGGAACACCGGUGGCGAAGGCGGCAUCCUGGACCGGUAUUGACGCUGAGGCGCGAAAGCUAGGGGAGCAAACGGG